rnacentral:lncRNA from 1 species
CUUAAAUCUUUUUAUUUUUAUUUUUGAGAUAGGUAGCAUGUUACCCGCUUCGUUUAUUUUAUUUAAAAAUAAAUUUAGAUAGAAAUGUGAAUCAACUAGAAUUCGAACUUGGGUCUCGAACAUCAACCACCCAACCUUUUGCCACUUGCUCUAGGGACUGUCGGUAAAUUUGUCUUAAAUAUUAUGUCGAUGAAAACAUAUGGUGUACAGUAUAGCUUAGGGCCUGUUUGUUUCGUCGUAAAAUCACCGGGAAAAUUUUUUUUCGGUGGAAAAAUAAGAUUCGAGUGUUUGUUUGCCCGUAAAAAGAAAUUUUCGGAAAACUUCUUUUAUGGAUCUAUGGAAAAAUCGCGACGUUGGAGCUGAGUUGGAGCUGAGGCGGCGUUCAGCAGGCGCGGUCGACGACCGACACCCCACCUCGUGGACCGCUAGAGAGACAGGUCCACAGUCCACAGUGACUGUGGACCUCUCUCUCCCACAUUUUUUAUAUAUAUAAUAUAUUAAAUAUGGUAUUUUAUUUUUAAUAUAAAUAUAUUUAUUAUAUAAAUUUUAUUUAUAAAUAUUAUUUAUAAAUAUCUAAUAAUUUAUUUUAUAGUAUUAUAUAUUUAUUAUAAUUUUAAAUAUAUUUAAUCUACAUAUAAAAAUUAUAAUAAUAAUAUAUAUAGUAUAUUAAUUAUUAUAUAAUAAUAAUAUAUAUAAUAAAAAAUAUAUUAAAUAAGUUUUUAUCUAUUUUUUUUUUCUUUCAACCAAAUAACGAUCAUGGAAAACUAUUUUUCUUUUCCUACAAACCAAACACUAAACUACGGAAAAAAAAAUUUCUACUCCACUGAAAAUUUUUUUCACAGUUUUAUGUCAAACCAAACAGUGCCUUAGGCUACUAUUUUUAAUCUUAAAUCUAC